CAGUCGCCACGGUAAUACGAAGGGGGCUAGCGUUGUUCGGGUUUACUGGGCGUAAAGGGUGCGUAGGCGGACUGAUAAGUCAGGGGUGAAAUCCCAAGGCUCAACCUUGGAACUGCCUUUGAUACUGUUAGUCUUGAGUUCGAGAGAGGUGAGUGGAACUGCGAGUGUAGAGGUGAAAUUCGUAGAUAUUCGCAAGAACACCAGUGGCGAAGGCGGCUCACUGGCUCGAAACUGACGCUGAGGCACGAAAGCGUGGGGAGCAAACAGGAUUAGAUACCCGGGUAGUCCCUGUCUCUUAUAC
rnacentral:rRNA from 1 species